UCUGGAACCAUGUUUUUAGACGGUGAAAUUCUUGUUAGAACCUCUUCAGAUUCUGAAAGGGAUGGUUGCAAGCCGCAGUUACAUUGCAUAACUGACAUGGAGUUUAAAAAAGCCACACAAACUAAGUUUUCUAGUGGUUCAUUUAGUAUCUGCUUAACUUCAGCUACUGAGCUGUUAGGCAGACUGAUUAAUGCCUUGAUUAAUGUCUUUUAAUUGUCCCUUCUAUUCAACUUUUCUGUAUUUCUUAUAGGAAGGCAUUAGAUUUUCAUUAUGAAUACAUUUUAGUUAACACAACAUUUAAAGAAGUCAUGGAGCUUUCCCAUAAGCUCUCCAGUACUCCAAGAGACUGUGACCUCUGGAAGGCCCACAUGUUUUGUUCAGAGGAGAAACAGAUGUUACUGAGAGCUUCUAGCUGACAGAGAGCAUCUGCAUGUUGUGUUUUCCCAAAAAACUCCAUGUAACAAACAGCUGGAGACAAAUUCCUGCCUCGUGCUUCCAACCUUUUUUACAGCUGGUAUUUGCUCCUUGGAAUAUUUUGGUCUUCCCUGGCAUUGUUGCAAGUGACUUCAGUGACUUUAUCCCUGCUGCUUUCUCAUCUGUUCUGCCAGAAGGAAAUACUGUUUUUCAUGCUUGUAGUCACCAAACAAGUAUUUCUAUAAAUUUGUUUGUAUCUUUCCAGGCUCGCCUUCAUUUCUACAGCUAUUGAAGUGCUCAGAUGGAGAGCUGCACCCUCCCAGCAAGAAAUGACCUGAGUCUCACGAGGCAGCUCAUGCUUUUCUAUGACCUAGGUCCCUUGCUCCCUCUUGGACUUCAGCACACCUCAGGGAGCUGCAGGCCUGUCCUGUUGGGCAAUGGGGCUGUGAACUGAUGCUGGUGGGAUUCCUGCGUUGGGCAAUGGAAGCGUUAAUCCAACAGUCAGGAGGUGUGGUUGUGAAAGAGCCCAGCUGGGCCCUUAGUACACACCAACAGAAGGAUAUGGAACAACCACGUAGUUGCAUGGAGCUGCAGUUGCACCACUUCCUCCCCUCUAACAAGAUAGGGCUCAAAGGAGAUGCUGCUGGAUGUACCAAUGCAGACAGCCAGGGGCUCCCAUAGUGCAGUCCUAUGGCCAGCGACGAGUAUCUCAGUCCAUGUGAGAUGGUUGUGUGGCAUCUGUGCCCGAAGCAAGAAGAAAGUUCCAGCUCUGCCGUGGCCACAAGCAUUGGGGCAGUUGGGGUUGUUGCCAUGUCUCCCACGUUUUGUUUGUGGUCCCACCUCGCCUUGCUGAGAUGGAUGUUUCUCACAAAGCCACGAGUGCUGCCAAGUGGGCUCCUCUUUGUCACCUCUACAACCCUCUACCUUCUCUUUGUGCAAAAAUGUGCUCUUGGCAGCCUUGGGUUCACCUGCUUUGGAGGUAGGUCUGUGCCAGCUCUCCUCUUCUCCUCUUCUAGGAAAGCUUUCCUAGUGCUUGUGUUGGAGAGGAACUCGUCAGCAAGAGGUUUCAGGCUGCAUUGCACUGGGAGUCCCCCAGGUAUGUGGCUUGCUGCACGAAACUGCAUCUGUUUCUGUGUUUUAUCUAAUAGGGCUGAAUAGAGAAAGAAUUUGCUGUGUUCAUCCUUAGUUUCUUAUCAACUGCUAUAUGUUUAUGUAUGUACUGUGUAUUGAUCUUCAUCACUGUAACUUCUAUUUGCAGAGAAAUGCCAAUUGCAAUGCAGUGCUGAUCUGCAGCAGCCAUGGCUCCAUCCUUAGCAAUAUGGGCAGCCAACCAAGAGCAAAGGAAGCAGUUUAUUCAGAGGAAGGGUUGCCUUGCUCUCCUCUUGGGCUCCCUUUUUGGGAUGCAGAUACACAAGUCCCACAGCGCAGGCAUGUGGGGCCACCUUUGUCCUUGUGAUGGACCCCAUGCACCCACCAGGGAUGUGGCUGGGAAACCUGGGCUCUGUGAGUGCAGACAGUGACAAAUGAGGGGUUACUGGAAAGUAUUCAUCCAACGAAACUGCAUGCAGCAUGACUCAUCUGAGAGCAGACUAGCAAGGCAAGUCACCUCUCAUCUUAAAACACAAAGCACAACUAGGUUCACCCAAGUAUAGCUAUCCUUCUUAGGGAGCCCCAUUACUCUAUCAGCAAGGCAUGUUGUGCUGUGCUGGCUGCAGGUCACACAACCACAGCACGCUAAUCCUGGCUGCCAUAAAGCAGCUGCUCAACGUUUGCAUGUGAUUUAUGGUAACACACUGCAAACAUAUAUGUAUGCCUGUCUAUGUGAAAGAAUAAUACACAAGCACUGAUCUGAAUGGAAGAGAAAUCCUGAUUAUUACUAUAGUGGCAGCGAAUUUAUUUCUUGCAUGUCGCAAGCCACAUAUUGCCCAAAUUCCUUUGUAGUGUACAUAAAUAAUAACAAUAAAACAACAACAAACUCUAUUGAGCUUCAAAACCAACUGCAUCAUUUUUCUAAUAUGAAAAGAUCGUGGGGAGAUUUCUGUACAAUGUUUCUUUGUUCCUACUGUUACCCUGAGACUAAGAGCACAGAUAACAUUUGGACUAUAUGGAAUCAUUUAUCUUAACGUAAUACCAGUGAAUGUCUCUAAUUAUUUAAGAGCUUACAGGGUUCAAACAGUAGCUCAGAUUCCCCACGUCAGACACUUCAUUUGCUUUUUAUUCUGAAAAAUGCGAUAGCCCUUGAAAGGAAGGAAAAUGUUUUUCUGGAUAAAGAGAGGUUUGAGCUAAGACUUGGCAGGAAAUUUUCUUGAUGAGUGUCUUAUGGACUGGAUUUCACCUGCCUUAGCUCAUCCACUCAUUGUUUCAUGCACUCUUUUCAUACACAUUUUGACUCUGCUCCCCCACCAUAUGCUUUUUAUUUAAUGGUUAGGACAUUUUCUUCCUCAUUUUCUGCUUUUUACAGACCAAGCAGAACAUGAGGCAAUACCACCAGGGACUAAGAUUGGUGCCAGACUUUUCCCAGUGGACAGACCAAAUGGGAAAGUUCAGUUCUGCUCUAAAAACAUGAGAAAUCCUCUGUGAAGAUGCACAGGGGCUUAAGGCAGUGUUUGGGCCAGGCAUCCAACUGCCAUCGAUUCAUAGGGAUUGGUGAGUAGCAGUUGGGCAUCUCCAUUUCCUAGUGGUGCUGGUUCACUGCUGGUGGCGUCGCCAUUGGGCUGACUGUGAUGGGAACCAUCCUCCGCAAAACCGAUGGGUAAGACUUUAAAUGAGGCAGCAGUGUCUUUGAUGAGAUGGCUCUAUGUUUUUACAGCACGUUUGUGUUUUUGCAACCAAACCUCUCUGGGAUUUUGCUGAGUUGCUGUGUUUUCCACUUCCCCCAUUUGCGGUGCGUUGCUGUGGGAGCUGGGCUGAAGCUGGCCUGGCACCAGGCAGAACAUCAGCCCACGGCUCCUGCAGUGCAAGGGGUGAGUAACAUCUGGCUUUGUGCUUUACCUUGCAGAUCUCUGGUGCUUGUUCCCAGCCUGCACUCAGGAGCGUUGCUUCCAGAGGUGUUUGCAAACCUUCCUUGGUGCUUUGGGUGCCUGGAAUGUGCACCUCACCCCCAUUACAGAGGCUGCAACCCAGGUUGGAUCCCACUCAGGAAACAGUAGCCACUGCUGGUAAAUGGGGAGCAACGCAUCAUUAGGCUCUUGUCAAUGACAGACGUGUUUGCAGCUCUGAACAUCUGGAAGGGAUUUAGCAGAAAGGUCUGGUUCCUGUGGCACCGUUCAUCUCCCCGCCUGAUGGAUUCAAAGGGGAUGAAGUAGAAGGAAGAAAGUAAACUGAAGAUUCUCAGGAGGUGUUUGGCUGCAGGCCAGCAGGCUGCUGGCUUUGUGGUGCUCAGAGGUUGCUCAGUCUUAUAGAAAGCUGCAGAGGAACAGGCUGGUUCUAUAGAGAUGUGACCUGACUUUCCAACCUGCAUGGUGGCUUGGCUGUCGGGUUAUUCUGGCAGAGAUUUCUCCCUGUCUGGGAUCUGGGAAGCCUUGCAACUGAUAGUGCAGCAUUCAUGGCUGAGACGUGUUGUGCUCAUGCCCUUGUUUUGGUCCUGCUGGAGGUGACCUUCCUAAGAACCAUGCUGCUGUACAGCAUGCUGAUGAGCCGCAUGUUUUGACAUCCCAUAAGAUUUGGUAUGUUAUCCAAUGCAUGACAUGCCUUCUUUACAUAAGGGCAAGGCUGAAGGAGAAUAGCUGGUCUGUGCGUUUAACUUGCUGUUGGAAUAUGUCACUGUGUGUCUUGUGUUUUUUGAGAUAUUUUCUUUUAGUGCCCUGUGGGCUAAAAUAAUAAGGGUCUGUCCAGGAGUCAGAAGUCAGCCUGUUGGCUCAGACCUUGGUAGGAUUGAGAUAUGAUUCCUAAUUUGGGAAAUUCCUGCUCCAAGAAGUCAUAGGAGGAGAAUGGCUGAGGAGUUCCCUGAUUCUCAUUUUAAAGGGUAAAUCACUGAGAUCCAGAGUAAGGCUAAUGAGCUGACCAAAGACACAACCACCUAUGAAAGUAUUCCCAGCCAUAAUAUGCUUCGGAUGACCCUGAACCAAUUUUAAUUCAUUUCAUUUUUUCACUUUGGAGAAUGUUUGUUUGUUUAAAAGAACUUUCAGGGAGUUGGACAACUGGAAUUGGUGAUGAGCCUUGAAAAUUCAGAGCAUCAGUGUGGGUGCUGGAAACAUACAUCUUGCAUCCUGACAGCUUACUGUGCCCCAGAGCAACACUUCAUGCUUCGUGUUCUUGGGUUCUUUGCUGUCAGCUCUCCUACCUUCCUGACCUGGCCUCUAGAAAAGAGGAAAAAAAAAAGAGUACAGUUUGGGAUUUGCGAUUAAACAACCAUGACCUCAUCCUGGGAGUUUCACAUUGCUGUGAGGAUUAGGACCAUAUGACUGGAAAGGCUGAUAAAUAUUUGUUCCUGCUCAUGGACGAAACGUCUCUCCCGCAGCAGCUGGUGGAGGGAGCUCUGCUUCCCACUGCGAUGGGGCUCCGCAGCAGCUCCCUGUGCUCCUCCUCGUGUCAAUUAACCCAUCAUCCCUCCCUUGAAUUGAAAGGAGAAAGCAAAUGUGUCUGCUUGCCAGCUUGAGAGUCAGAGUGAUGAGUACAGACGGUUGCCAAAGCGUUGUGAAAUGCAGACGUAGAAGAAUUAAAAACUAAUAAUGAAGAAAUGUGUCUGUCUUGGUUGUGCUGCAACUGCCAGACUAAUCCUGCUGGCAUCCUCCCAGGUUAGAGCAUCACUUAUUCACAUUCUUAGUAGCUGGCAAUGCCGCUCUGUAGGAGCACUGGUGGAAACAGCUUUGGUUUUAAGCCUCACUUUAGUUGUAGUGAGGUUUCGCUUCAUUUGAAUUCCAGGUUUUUUUAGCACUUGGGGCUAAUUCUAAUAUAAAGUCCUAUUGUAUCGCAUGAAGAAAUAGCUUCUGUGACUCCUCCUGUCAGUGCCAGAAGCUCAGUUUCUGUUUACCUUGCACCACUGAAACCAGGAGGUCGCUUUGCCUGAGCAAGAGGGGCUGGAUUUGGCCCAAACCAUCUUGCUUUACAACAUGCUGUGUAUCCCAUAUAAAUCUAUGUCUCCACUUUCCCCCAGCUAUGGCUAUACCCAGUUCCUGGUGCACGCUCAGACAUUCCCUGCCAGACCUAUUCCCACACCUAUGUCUCAUGUAAAAAGUCACAAACCCAAGUGCAUGUGGAUGUCAGCGAUGUGCGCACGCCUUGCUAGAUACAGCUGAGUGUGCCUGCCCCAAUGCCUGACUGAAACCAAUGGAAAACACCACUCCUUGCAUUCUACAAGAAGGAAACUACAUAGACCUGGCUGGUUAUAGAAGUGGUUUAUCCAGGAACAUGUCUGUAUGUUGAACUUGCAUAAUGAAGGCAAUUAUUUUCCAUUCAGCCCUCCGAACGCAUUGCAGCAUUCGUUCUCAGCAGCGGUAAGGAAAUGCGUCCAAACUGUUCCAGCUCUCCUGGCCCUUUAUCAAGGAGCCUUUACAAGCUGGGUAGACUGCAUUACUAAAUCAUUCCCUCUCAGAAACGAUUACGAGCCUUGUCAUGUUAUCUACUCGACUGUAACUACAAAACCACUGUGACUAAAUGAAGCCAUAUGUCCGCCAUGAUUCCUUGCAGUGAUACCUACUUGCAUGUGUUUCUGUCUGUAUGCGUAUGUAUACGGGUGGCAGUGCCCCAGAACCACGUUAGCGGGUGAAGCCCUGCUUGGUGUGCAGUCACCCAAAGCAGAUAGUGGGGAAUGGGAUGUCUGUGUCUUGCCAGUGUCAUCUCCCCAUUCCAUGACUGGCUUGGUGCAAGUUCCUCUAUGCUGUUUUUGUUUCGCAUUCUUUCUAUUUCUCCUAGAUGCAGCAUCUUUUCCUGCUGUUGAAGAUGUGACUCAAGUGAGACACUGCGACCUCUGCCUUCUGCCCUGAGAAACACUCUGCUGUUCUCCCAGUGCUGCGCUUGGCUCCUGAACACUGUAAUUGUAAAUAUUUUUAGUGUGCUCCCAACUGUGAGAGCCCACAGGGCUUGUAUAAACCCUUGGGUUUACUACAGAAAUAUGGGUACUAUAUUGCAAAGUAUACAGCGGGGAACUUGCACUCUCUUGCUCUAAUGUUUUUUGUUCCUGUGUUUCAUUACCACCACAUGAAACGUACAAGGGCAUGAUGGCACAGACAGUGUCUGCUUUCUCACACUGAGUGCAUCAUGUUGUUCUGAUGGAGAGGUGGAGGAGAAAGCAGCUGCUUCAACCUUGCUGGAGAAAUGAUGGUGCUGAGCUGUGCAGGGCUGUUCUGAGGUUGGUCUUCAAGUCUGGUUGAAGACCAGUCUCUCUGUCAUGGUUUCAAUGAGCCGAGUUUCAUCCGAAGUCUGUAGGAUGACAGGAGCAGCCUCCUGGCUAUGAGUGUCCCAUUACAAGAUGGUUUAUUGACAUAACGUAUUUGCAGUAUCUUCUUGGCAGGGAGUGAUUUCAUCUGCCUGCUGUAUUUAACAGAAAUUAACUGCUACUCCCUCCCAACCCCCUGCUUUUUUUUUUUUUCUUUUUUUUUUUUUAAGGAAGUUUCAUUAUAUCAUAAUAAAUUAAAUGAAUUCAGAUUUCAAAGCUUAGCAUCUCAAAAUAACAUUCUGCUGUAAUUUGGCUCAGGAUGCUCCAACGUUUGCUCUCUUCCUGCAUUACCAAGUGGCCAACAGCCAAGCCCAGCAGAUUACAGCGCUGACAUCGAGCGUCUAUCAGGCCUUAAAUCAGUCGAAAUGGGCCAGAAACAACUUGCUUUUAUCCAUUUUAAGGGCUGUAGGCUGCUCUUCAAGUGGUUUGCUCUCCAGUGAUGGCACCGACUUUUCCAUGGCUUAUGCAGCAACGCAUGGAAACGAAUACUCCCCAGAACAAUACGUCAGACCAGGAUUUCUUGGGGUUUUUCUACUUCAUUGCUGGCUUGCUGAAAACAAGAAGAUAAAUUGCGGGAUAAGGAACAAAAUGAGAACAUGUGAGAGCUAAAGAAGUGCCUUGUGGGAGCUGUUUUCUAUCUCCUUUUUCUUUUUCGCAUACGGACGAUCUGACUAAGUGAUGCUGAAUUAUUCCUUGAAAGUUGGAUUGCUGCUCCUUGUGACUUCCUGCCCUAUAAUUUUACUGUAUCGUAUAUCUACAGCAUGGGCAGGGGGAAAUAGAAAACAGAUGGGGGGAUAUCAGCUCGGCCCCACAGCACUGCUCAGUAGUUUCAGUGGGUUUGUUUUGUGUCUGUGCCCAUUGGUGUACGCAGAAGAAACGGAGCAAAGCAGAGACCUUCUGAAACAGAUUUAUCCCAAAGCAUUUAAUGUGGGAAGACAGUUACAAUCUUACACAGUGAGGUUUCUUUGCUGAGGCUUUGGAGCAUGUCUUGCCAUCCCCUCUGUCAGCGGAGCAGCUGUUACCCUGAAAUGCAUCCCGGUGUCUGUUUGUGUAAGUGCAAUUUUCCACGUGAUUGAUCUCAGAGUAUUUGUAUGAGUGUGCACAGAGCCCGCUGCACAUGGAUUUCAUUUCAGCAUCUGUCUGAACGCAGAGGUUAAAGCGAGUGCAAGGCAAAGCGCUGGCCAUUCACAAAUAGGUUGGUCACAGUCUGAUGGCCCAGUGUAUUGGAAUAUUCCUUUGAAACAGGCAAACCGCUCUCAAAGUGAUUCACGGGAACUAAUUGAAGGCUGGGUCAGUACAGAGAGUCCUGCUGGCAUGGGGUAAUGAAUGGGGAUGCACUGAAGAGGAACCAGGAGGCAGAGUGGGACCGGGAGAGAGGGACGGGGAGGAGGAAAGCUGCAGCAGGAGAUAAAAACAUCAGAUCUAGAUGAGGAAGGUUGGGAUUAAGCAAUACUGACAGGGUUUAAAAUCUCACCUGUUUUGUCUCCAUAACGUAUGAAGUCUCUAUUCCUCAUCUUUGAGGCUGGAGACAAGAGCCCUUGCAGGUAGGACUUUGAGAUCCAUCUGUUUGAUGGAGGCAGCAUUGAGGAGAGGAAACCUGACACUGGGGGAAGGUUUUGUGUAUUUUAUCCCAGGGGAUUAAUGCUGUUUACGCUAAUCAGAUCUAUUUACUGCAGUGGGAAAAGUAUUUUUGUAAAUAAAAAAUGUUU